UUUCCGUAGGUGAACCUGCGGAAGGAUCAUUAACGAAUAACUAUGGUGUCUUGGUUGUAGCUGGCUCCUCGGAGCAAUGUGCACGCCCGCCAUUUCUAUCUUUCCACCUGUGCACCGACUGUAGGUCUGGAUGACUCUCGCACUCCGGUGCGGAUGCGAGGAUUGCUCUCGGGCUCUCCUCGAAUUUCCAGGCUCUACGUCUUUUUACACACCCCAAACGUAUGAUACAGAAUGUAGUCAAUGGGCUUGAUCGCCUAUAAAACACUAUACAACUUUCAGCAACGGAUCUCUUGGCUCUC
rnacentral:misc_RNA from 1 species